rnacentral:rRNA from 1 species
CCCUUAGAUGUUCUGGGCUGCACACGUGCUACACUGGCAGGUUCAGCGAGCUUCAUGCCCUGAUCUGAAAGGAAUGGGAAAUCUUUUCAAAACCUGCCGUGCUUGGGAUAGAUGUUUGCAAUUAUUCAUCUUCAACGAGGAUUGCCUUGUAAGCGCACGUCAUCAGCGUGCAUUGAAUACGACCCUGUAUUCUGUACACACCGCCCGUCGCUCCUACCGAUUGAAGUUUUCGGUGAGUUGACAGGAGGAUUUUUUUGAAACUGGUUCGCCAGUGGAUUUUAGAUCAAAAUGCCAACGAAUCGAUGGCUUUAGAGGAAGGAGAAGUCGUAACA